AGUGGGAUAGCUGGGUCAAAUGGUGGUUCCAUUCCCAGUAUUCCAAGGAAUCUCCAUACUGCUUUCCAUAUUGGCUGCAUUAUUUUGCAGUCCCACCAGCGAU
rnacentral:pre_miRNA from 1 species